UUAUCGAGACUACUAAGUGUUGUAUGUAUAUGUUUUAUUCAGUGAAUUAGUUGUCCUUUUCGUUAGAACAAAAGCAAAAAGUAUCUAAAUUCGUCGGGCACAAAAAUGCCAAAAGAGAAUCGAGAAAGAGAGAAGAAAAAUAGAGCCAUACGGAUUUACAUGAUUCGGCCACUGGCCUAUAUCCACGAAUGAAGACGUAAUGGAGAUCUUCAUUAUAAUCAAACUGAUGUAGAAAAUAUGCUUCUCUUAUAAAACACUAGCUAGUUUAAAAAAAUAUACUCAUACUCCCUCUCAUCUACCACACCAGAUCCAUAGAAUAAAGAUUAUAUUUAUAAUUGUGGCUAAAUCCUAAUUCGACUAGGAAUACAAAUCCAUUGAGACUAUGUGUAAUCUCAAUUAGAUUAGGCAUAAUCUAAACUUAACUUAAUGGGAUAACCAAAUCAGAAUAUAGUUAGAAAAUCUUGUUGUUCCAGAAUUCGAGACAUCUAACACUUAUCGUACAGCUUGAGCUUGUGGAAUAGUGAUUAGUGCUAACGAUCCGCAUUAUGGUCUCCUUAUUACAGAGUAAUGUGACCUGCACC
rnacentral:lncRNA from 1 species